rnacentral:rRNA from 3 species
CUUGGCGGCAAUAGCGCGGUGGUCCCACCUGACCCCAUGCCGAACUCAGAAGUGAAACGCCGUAGCGCCGAUGGUAGUG